CUAGUAAUGGCAGGUCAGCAUACUGCCGUGAAUACGUUCCCGGGCCUUGUACACACCGCCCGUCACACCAUGAGAGUUGGAGAUACCCGAAGCCUGUGAGCUAACUUUUAGAGGCAGCAGUCGAAGGUAGAAUCAAUGAUUGGGGUGAAGUCGUAACAAGGUAAC
rnacentral:rRNA from 1 species